CGGGUAUAUUUUUAUCACAUUGUAGUUACAUAAUUAGUUAUAAUUAUUUGCUUAAAUCCUGCCCCCUCCUAAGUCAGGAGCCAUAAAUUGAAAUGUCCUUGGGGCCUCUGAAGGUUACGGCUCCAUGCAGCCCCGGAGGAAUGUAGCCCCAGUGCUGCUAGAUUGCUCCGGAGAGAUUAAAAUUCAGCAGUCCUAGUUAUAUAUUUUUAAGAGUUAUUGGCAUAUUUGAAAACAAUUGAACUUAACGUAGAUUGAACAAGACAUAUCUCCCAUCCGAAAAUGACCCAUCUUCUCUUGCCUGUCCAUCUCACACGCGUGGUGGGGGAUGGGGCAAAAAUGUAAGAGUAAAUUUAGAUGUGGAGGUAGGGUAAAGCAAGCUUUUGAAGUGGGAGGACCAGGGAAGAGUUUAUACUCUAUUUGAGGAAAGACAAAUGGAAAUUUCCAGUGUGA